GCAGUGUAGAGAAAAUAAUGGAAAUUGAUGAGCACAUAGGCUGUGCUAUGAGCGGAUUGAUUGCUGAUGCGCUGACUCUUGUUGAGCAUUCUCGCGUUGAAACUCAGAAUCACAGGUUUUCAUAUGGUGAACCUAUGACAGUUGAGUCAACUACACAGGCUAUAUGUGAUCUUGCUCUUUGAUUUGGUGAAGAAGAUGAAGAAUCUAUGGGCUAUUCUGGUGAUUAUACACGGCCUCAAUGAACAUAGUCUGUCAGACUCUGUCUGUAUGGUUGUUAGUGUCCGGCUCGUUCUAGAGAAUGAAUCUUUUCCUUAAUGGAGGCAGUGGCUUGCAUGAACUGUGAUCCUGGAGUCCUGAAAAUGAUGAGUUUCCAGUCCCUAUCAAAUGGUUGCUAUUGCAUGAACUGUGAUCCGGUCUUCCUACCUAUCCAUAGGAUGAAGACAUCCAUAUCAUUGUAGUUAGUUAUAUGAAUUGCAAUACUAAUUUGAUGCUUUCUAUUUCCAGUGGUAGAUAUACGGAGUUUGCAAAGAAACUCAUGUCGUGCAACUUUGGAGUAUAUGCAAUGGAUUGGACAGGAAAUAAUCAAAGAAUUGAUGGAAAGGCUACCACACAUGAAAGAGCUUAUGGAUAUGUACUGUGGCCCUGAUAGAGUGACUGCAAAGCAACAAAUGCAAGAGUUAGACAGAGUCGCAAAAACUCUACCAGAGAAUAUACCUUCAUCUGUGAAGAGGUUCAUUGAUCGUGCCGUUCUUUCACUUCAAGUUUUCUUUUUUUCAACUUAGUCUAGUUUCCUGUAAAUUUUAUAAUGUGUCAUUCUCUGAAAUGGAAAACAUUGAAUAUGGCAAACUGGAAUAUUUAAACA